AUUGAGCGCUGGCGGCAGGCUUAACACAUGCAAGUCGAGCGGGGUGAUGGUGCUUGCACUAUCACUUAGCGGCGGACGGGUGAGUAAUGCUUAGGAAUCUGCCUAUUAGUGGGGGACAACAUCUCGAAAGGGAUGCUAAUACCGCAUACGUCCUACGGGAGAAAGCAGGGGAUCACUUGUGACCUCGCGCUAAUAGAUGAGCCUAACUCGGAUUAGCUAGUUGGUGGGGUAAAGGCCUACCAAAGCGACGAUCUGUAGCGGGUCUGAGAGGAUGAUCCGCCACACUGGGACUGAGACACGGCCCAGACUCCUACGGGAGGCAGCAGUGGGGAAUAUUGGACAAUGGGGGGAACCCUGAUCCAGCCAUGCCGCGUGUGUGAAGAAGGCCUUAUGGUUGUAAAGCACUUUAAGCGAGGAGGAGGCUCUUUUGGUUAAUACCCAAGAUGAGUGGACGUUACUUGCAGAAUAAGCACCGGCUAACUCUGUGCCAGCCGCCGCAGUAA
rnacentral:rRNA from 1 species